GCUGAGUGGAGGUAGGUGGAGGGGUGGAGGGGUGGAGGCACGAGGAUGAGGGAGGACCGGCGUCUGCGCAAAUGUGGCAUGCCGCGGGUGGGAGGUCGGCGGCGAGCUUUUCCAGAUGCUGGGAUGACCGACUCAAGGCUGCGAAGCUCCGGGCCGAUUUCAGUUUCGAGCUCUUUUCAGCCAAUCCCCUUCUGUCCUUGAGCCCUGUGCCAGUUUCUCCCCAUCGCCUCCCUCCUCCUACCCUGCUCUCGAGCCGCUGACCACGCCAUGCAGCGGCAACACCAGCUUGGCUCGCUGACGCGGCGGUGGUAGGCCGGAGCGGCACGGCUGGACCUGAGCAGCGAGAAGUGGAAGCAACUGUUCCAGGGAGGACCAAGAGAAGCCGCGCGAGACCGGUCUGGUUCGUCUUGUUGAUGCCGGUGGGAAGGGGAGCUUCUAGGAUUCGCGCGCGACUGGAGGCAGGAGAUGGUGGCCUCGCUGAGGGAGAUCGACCAGAAGAAAUAGGCGGGGCAGCUAGGCUUUGGGUGGUGGUAGAUUCAAACACCGAUGGCUACAACUGCAAGAAGCUGCGACUCUGUUUUUGCACCAGAGGUCUUGGUGAACUAAUUGGAGGCGUCGUUCGAGUUCUACAGGAUCUCCUCCACAUUGAUGUGCUAGCCAUCCAGAAGGAGAGGAUGUUGACGCUGUGAAGUGGUUGGCGAGAAUACCGCACGUGUUCUGCAAGAUGCUCAUCUUAUUCGACGCCCUCGACACAGGUGCAUGAUUCCUCUUCUCCAGCAGCGACACGGUCAAUAGCGAUGCCAUUGACUUCCGCCUUCAUGACUUCUUCACUGCCACUUUAGCCAGCCAGGCCGGCCGUCCUUUAUGAGGAAGAGCUGCUAAAGGCUGAUUGACUAGGGCAAGGUGGCACGACGGUGAUCAUCCAGAGCAUCUACCAGAGUUAUCUCGGCAUGUUAUUUAUCUUCUCCGUAUAUCUCAGCCAUCAGUUUAACCAAACCCACUCUGGAGUUAUUUUUUGGAUGAAAACCCAUUUGCUACUCCUACUUUUGUUGCUCUGUUGCAUUUCUGUUUUUGGAAUAUGUGCAUCUCUAAUAUUCAUGUGCUCCUCAAAUUUCAGUUUGUCACUUAUCAAGUUCUCGCAUUAUCACUGUGCCCGGAGGUUGUUUUUGUAGCAAUGGAGUAGAGAACAUCAGUUUUAUAUUUGCCCACUGGAUGUGUUCUUGCUUAGUCGUUUCUUGGGAAGAUUUUCUUAUAUUUGUUACCCUUUCUGUAUUUGUUUUUUUUUUUUUUGCACGUUCUUGAUAUAUACAUACUUCAGCAAUAUGUAAUCCAAAGGAAUCCUUUUAAGUUCCAUUCUAUUGUUCAAGUUUUGGUUUAGCCGACCAGAGGUAUUCACAGUUGGGUCAUCCAUGAAUUGAAAGACUACUGGAACCUGUGUUUUCCCUUUACAACCAAUUCUUAGUAUUGAACUACGUAUUUUGCUAUCUGUUCCAGUGACAGUUUAUUUACUAUUCAUUCCGAGAAGAUAUGUUAUUGGUUGGGGUUACACAACAGCAUGUGCUGCAGCUCAGUGAGUCGGCCUAGCCAGGUCAUGCUCCCUGAGUAAUACUGGUGUGGCAAAGGUUCUGCAUAAAAAAUAGUAUUGAUGCUUGCUUUUCUAUACUGCAGGGUAUUUCUGUAGAUGUGCUUAUGUUGGUGCUGGACAGAUACUCUAGGCUGCUCUGCAGUUCUAUAUAUUUUUUCAAUUUUUUUGACAUUUUGUCAUUUGUAGAAAGUUGAAAUUGCUUUGCAGUGUUGUAGAUAUUAGUGGUGAUUUAGUUAUAUUGGAUAUUUUGCAAAAAGAAAUUGUUAUCUAUGUGGAUUUGCAUGCAGUACUUAUAUAUUAGCCAUUUGGCUGGAAAAAUUAAAAAAAAGGUUACAAUUAUCUUAGAAAUGUGUUUAGUACCGGUGCUUACCACAUGCAACAUGGAGAGCCAACUUAUUCUGUACAAAAUUUCAUGUUAUAAUUGCCAGCUACUAAUUCCAAACAACUAAUCGAUGAAUACUAUUUUACACGCUAUGUUCAAUAUAGCAGACAUGAGUAUUGCUCUUGAUAGAGUGGACGUAAGUUCGUGCUACUGGUUUACUUGCAGAUCUCAAUAUCUAUAUUCAAGUGUCUAGCUAUGAAAGGACAUGAUGCCCCUGAAGUUUUCUUGUCUCCUGUUCCUUGUUCUGCUUUCCUCUGUCUACUUCCUACUGGUGAUCCAGGAGGUUGUCUAGCCGUUCUCACUGCCUUGGAGUUCAGGUGCGUGAUUUUACGUUCGGCUUCUUAGCUUAUAUUCCCCUUUCCCAUGCUCCUUCCUCCCUUAAGAGGUUUGAUGAUCGAUUGAAUUAGUUGUCAUCUCUUAUUUCCUGUUGUGCUCUCCAAGAGAAUGUUGCAGCACAAAUCUCUUUUGUGGAAAAGGUGCAGAGGUGAUACUGAAUGUUCCAUGUUCCUUGUGAUAACACUUACAUGUUUCUGGUUAAAUCAUUUCUACAACACUGACAAGAUUAUCUCAUAAAUACUUCCAUUAGGUUUAAGCACCAAGAGGUUGUUGCUUGUCAAUUGACAGUCAGUUGUCCAAAAGUAAAAAAGUGCUUAUGAAAUUUGCAGACUUAAAUGGAAAGUUUGACACACAUCUUUCAUGUACUUGAGUCAGGCUCUUGCCAAGGGAAGAUGCAUGUCCUUCCCCAGUUCUCCGCCUAAAAAAAGGUUUCAGAGGGAGUCGGUCUGCCCAGUGCAGGGCAUUGGUGAAACCAGAAACUCUUGGGUCGUUUGGUUAUGGUUCAAAAAGCCUCUUUUCCCUAUUUACCAGACAAUCAAAGACCAAUCGUGACAAUUCAAUUGCUAUAGGCUGUGCGGUUAGUAUGUGUGAGUGUGACUGCUCACAUUUUGCAAGCAGAGCAGCCCAAUAAUUUUUUCCUGAAUGGAUCACCCUUCUCUGUGUUCACUCCUGGGUAUUGCUCCAAGGAUAGGAAAUGUUAGUUCACCUUGACCAACUUAAUAUUGUUGAGUAGACGGUGUUCAGUGUUGUGAAUACUACCGUGCAAUUUUUGUAAAGCUUUCAUGUCCACAGAUUUGACGAUAUUAUUCAGUAAAUAUGCGA